rnacentral:misc_RNA from 1 species
UCAAGGCACGUGCAAUCCGUUUUGUCAAAAUUGCAAGGACUUUCCAUACGCGUGUAGCAACGUGUCUUUGCCGAAGUUGCAUCUGCGAUGCUCUUGUAACCCUUCAUAGCGGUGGUCAUCUCGCAGUUCCGCCGUGGCUUUUGUAUGUGUAGCACGCGUUAUUUCUUGUUUCUUCCAAUAAAAUAUUUUUACAUAAUGCGCAAGAGGAGGAAGAUAUGUGAAUGGUACAAGAUGACGUGAUCGACGUGCGUGUGUGAAUAUGUGCGAAGGAUGAUGCUGAAGUGGCGGUUUUCCACCCAAGUUAUUAGUUGUGUAACUCCAGUUUCUGAUCUAUGGAAAGUAGUGAAACGUCUUCACGAAAUACAAUUUCAUUCGUUUUCCUCCCUUGCAUUGGCACGCUGUGAGUGGUGUCGACUUCCAAAUGAGUGCAAGAAGAAGAAGAAUUGUAAAGAAUCCGUAAGUGGCCCUAGAAGACGCAGUCAUCGUGUGAGGUGUUGUCGGCAGGAACGAAGAGUCGAAGUUGUUGAAGAAGUCGUGUGACAUUUGUAUUGUUUCUGGUUAUAUACAACGCUAUUUCACAUAUCUAUGUAUAUAUAUAUAUAUUAUUAUAUUAUUAUAUAUUAUUAUAUUAAAUCUUCAGUUGGUUUAGUUGAAUGUUCAGUAAUGUAAUUUUUACAAGGUGGUUUUGUAUAUUAGAUGAGUAGCUGUUCGAUAUAAUAAUAUGUGUAUAUAUGUGUCGGAGAUGAAAGAACGCCGGAGCUCCUCCUUGGAUUCGCGGGAAUAUCGCAACUCUGUAACUUGGAUUAAACAAAUGCCGCUCCGAUUGUUCGAGAUUUAUGAUCAUGAGCUUGGGCUCGAGGCGACAAUCAGUCGCCGAACGUAGCCGCGGUCAAAGGGAUGAACGUUCUAUCUAACAAAGGCACAGAGUAACUCUAUACCUCUCCUUAAAAGAAAUAGUCGUAGCGACACGUGGCAGUAAAUACUUCAAUAGUUUCUAUCCCGCGGCCCGCCACACGCAGAUUUUGUCCUCCGGGUAAGAUGAUCGCCGGGUGUCGGCAUGCCUUUGUGGCGUAUGUUUAGCUAACGUGAGGACCCGCUAUAGAUCUUAAGAUUUAGUCAAGCGAAGUCCGUCAAAUAGACUUUGUUGCAACUACGGGAAGAUAGGAGAAACCUAUCCUCCACGAGCGUUGCCCCCCGUCAACAACCUCCCCUCAAGGGCGGCCAGCAUCUCUUUCAAAACGCCGAUAUGGAGAUCGACCAAUUAGCAAUAGCGCUAAUUUCCCUCACCUUUGGAACGAAAGCUUUCUUUGACGAAUCCGAGGAUCUCAUGUCCUUAGACCCAUCCAUUAUAGUUUUCCUCGACGGUAUCGUCGAGACGGAGAGUUACUCUCCGGUACGAUCUCGACGACGAUUCAAGCAACUCUCG